GAUUUUGACCUGGGUAUAUAUUGUUUCUAAACUCACGGCUUCUUCCCCACCACACAAACCCUAAUUUCAUUUUCAAUUAGAUUCCUCUCUGCCGUUUCUUCUCUACCUCUCUAUUACGCUUCUGCAUCUCUAUCUCAAAUCAAUGACAAGAUUUCAUCUUCUUCCCUAAGAUUCAUCGGUUUUCAUCUCUCAAUUUAGGGUUUCGACUAUAUAUUUCUUAUAAUCCGAAGAACACACAACCUUCAUUCGCAUCUAGGGUUUCUGUUUCUUCCAUCAUACAUCUCCUUCUCAUCAUCCCUAAAUCUCAUUCCUGAAAGAUCAUCAAUACCAAGGUAUGAUUCAGUUUUUGGGCUUUUUUUAAAGGUCAAGUGUUAUUUUCCGAUAUAAUUUUGCUACUACAAUCAAAUUACAAGCAUACUUAGUUCCUUAAAGUUUGAAGAACUAGACUUGCCUUUGAGAAAACUCGGUGAAUACUCUUCAAAAGGUAAAAGUACUCGAGAAAUUUCUACAAAGUCAUGUUGGAAAAUACGCCACAGGGGAUGAUCUUUUCCUGGCUGAUUUGUUUCUGGCACCACAAAUCCAUGGUGCAAUAAAGCGGUUCAACUUUGACAUGACACCGUACCCUCUUCUCGGUAGGUUGCAUGAGGCAUAUAUGCAGGUACCUGCUAUCCAAGAUGCCUUGCCUGAGAAUCAACCAGACUACCCUUCUACUUGAAGAUAAUAAUAAUUCAGGCCAAAUAAACUGUAUCGGGUAAUAUGAUUCAUACACCUAAUCUAAACCAUGGUUGUCAAAGGCGCAAGGCGUCCUCAGGGCGCAAAGGGUGAGCCUUGUGCCUCAAUUCAAGGCCUUAAAAACAUCUGCUUCUCUCUUUCUAAUCGAUAACGUCGUCAGCGAUUCUUUUGUAAACCCAUUCUUUCUGUGGUUUGAUGGUGAUACUAAAAUGGGAGGUGAGAGUUGACGAAAGAGAUACUACUUUGCUUCUCUAAAUCUGUACAAAAUUUGAAGUUCUGACACCAGGUGUUCGAUUAAAUGCUCACUCGAGAUUCACUAUUAAUUUUGAGAUGCGAUUCAGAUUGGGGUGAUGUUCAAACUUUGGCGUACCAAAUUGGAAGGAUGGCAGGUGCUCACCUGUAACCUCCAUUGUAGCCAUGGCGGGCUGGCCCCUUUACACACCCUGAGCUCGGUAACUUUCCAAUUCUUAUGUUUCGACAUGGCUUGCUAGAAUCGAUCAGUAGGUAAACCAUAGGUGCAAUAUGAGCAGGUUGGUGUUGAUAAUAAGACCUUUUUUUUUCUAUUGACAUGAGGCUGUGAUGAACGUGUAUAUGCGAUUCAGAUUGGGGUGCUGCUUAAACCUUCGCGUGGCAAAUUGGAUGGAUGGCAGAUCAAAACUAAAUAGAUCAGAUGUGACUUAUCAAUGUCUGAAGUGAGCUCAUGAAUAACGUCCAUUAAUGAUCAAGGUAAUAUGCAUACAUCAAAAUUUGUUCAUCCGCUUCUUCCUUCUAUGCCAAAACCACCAUUCUCCGCUUGAUUAAUUGGUGAAUCAGUCUUGCUAAAUGGGCUACACGAACCGGACUGCAAAUAACCUCUACUAAUGUUGCUGGCACAUUCAGUUAUUUGGCUCCUGAGUAUUUUAUGCACGGAAAAGUUACGGAGAAAAUUGAUGUGUAUGCAUUUUGUGUUGUGCUUCUUGAGCUUCUUACCGGAAGGAAGCCGAUAAGCAAUGGACAUCCAAAGGGUGAAGAGAGUUUGGUUAUGUGGGCAAAGCCAGUUCUGAAUAGCGGGAAAUUUUCAAGAUUGUUGGACCCCAUUUUGGGUGUUGACUAUGAUGUUUACCAAAUGGAGUGCAUGGCUCUUGCUGCUAUGCUUUGUAUCAGAAGUGUGUCCGUGACAGGGUUGAUGUUUUUGACACGAAUAAAUAUGUGAGUUGUGUUCAGGUUGAACAAGUCAACCUGGCAGCCCACCAAGGUGACCUGAUUGACACCGUUGGUACUGAUAGUAGUUUAUCAACUCGAGUUGAAUUGAAUUGAAUUCCUCCUCUGGUAGAUUCUCAAACUGCUUAAAGGUGAAGUGGAGGUGACAAAAUGGGCCCGGCAAGAACUUGACUAAAUUGGAACCUAUAUUGGAAUUCGUUUUUUGAUUAGUACUGUUAUUGUUAUUUCAUUUAUACAUUUAUGAUCAGUUUAAAUUAAAUUUUCCUGCUCGGGAAGUUCCCGGGUUAUAACCUAUCCUUUAUAUAUACAAAAAAAACAUUACAUAUACACAUCUUCCUUUUUUAUGUUUUUAUGACUCUUUACAACUAGAAAAACUUUAAGAAACCGAACUAAAAAUCUUUGAU
rnacentral:lncRNA from 1 species